GGGCGGGUAGCGUAGUGGUCAGCGUAUUCCUAAGCGUUACAGCGUUGUUUCUUCUCUACCUUCCCUUCAGCGUUUAGCGAAAGACCUGGGUUCGACUCCCAGCCCGCCCA
rnacentral:tRNA from 1 species